rnacentral:rRNA from 1 species
UACAGAGGUCCCAAGCGUUGUUCGGAUUCAUUGGGCGUAAAGGGUGCGUAGGCGGCGCGGUAAGUCGGGUGUGAAAUCUCGGAGCUUAACUCCGAAACUGCAUUCGAUACUGCCGUGCUUGAGGACUGGAGAGGAGACUGGAAUUUACGGUGUAGCGGUGAAAUGCGUAGAUAUCGUAAGGAAGACCAGUGGCGAAGGCGGGUCUCUGAACAGUUCCUGACGCUGAGGCACGAAGGCCAGGGGAGCAAACGGG